AGUAAAAGUCGUAACAAGGUUUCCGUAGGUGAACCUGCGGAAGGAUCACUAGUGAUUAAACGGGAAGCGUCUUAACUGACCUUCUCACCCUUCACAUCCACAUACACCCUGUGAACUGUUUGGCUUCAACUCUCGAGUUGGGCUCUCCUAUCGAUAGAUUAGCAAUAGUCUAACGAGAAGAGAGUUCAGCACGAGAGCGGGAGUCAUCAUUUAUACAUACACAAAGUCUAAUGAAUGUAAACGUUUUAUAUAAACAAAAUAAAACUUUCAACAACGGAUCUCUUGGUUCUCGCAUCGAUGAAGAACGCAGCGAAAUGCGAUAAGUAAUGUGAAUUGCAGAAUUCAGUGAAUCAUCGAAUCUUUGAACGCACCUUGCACUCUCUGGUAUUCCGGAGAGUACGCCUGUUUGAGUGUCAUGAAACUCUCACUCCCUACCUUUUCUUAAUUGAGAAGGAAGGGACGUGGGCUUGGACUCUGCUGGUCUUUACGGAUCGGCUUGUCUGAAAUGAAUUAGCUGGAUCCUCUUUGUAAUUGGUUCUACUCGACGUGAUAAGUAUUUCGUCGAGGACAGUCUUAACGGACUGGCCGAGAGAAGAAGAGUCUUUUAGAUCCGCUUCUAAUCCGUACGACCUUUUGGUCUACACUUUUUAUGAUC
rnacentral:rRNA from 1 species